rnacentral:lncRNA from 1 species
UAAUGCAUGGAAUGGGAACGCACAUAACACACAGCAGUGUGAAAAACAGACGAGUCAAUAAACAGGAACAGUAUAUUAUUCAUGAAACAGUGACAUAUAUAAGACAGAACACAUCACAGACAGAUUCACAGAAAAGGGCAAUAAAAGUUGUAUGGUAUAUCCAUUCAUUUAUUUAUGUCAGGGAGUCCUGUUAUGCACAGUAGUGUAACAUUCUACUGCUCCUCCAUGACACACCCCAACAGAUCAUUCCUACUUCCUGAACACUGUUGCACGGUGGGCCGCAUAAUCUCAGAAAUGUAUUAAUAUAGAAGCUAUCAAACCUCUCUCAGCCUUCCUCUCCUCUCUAAGACUUCUUCUCAUCUCAGCCUUCCUCUCUUCUCAGCCUUCCUCUCUUCUCAGCCUUCAUCUCCUCUCAGCCUUCCUCUCUUCUCAGCCUUCCUCUCCUAUCAGCCUUCCUCUCUUCUCAGACUUCCUCUCCUCUCAGCCUUCCUCUCUUCUCAGACUUCCUCUCCUCUCAGCCUUCCUCUCUUCUCAGCCUUCCUCUCCUAUCAGCCUUCCUCUCCUCUCAGUCUUCCUCUCUUCUCAGACUUCCUCUCCUCUCAGACUUCCUCUCCUCUCAGUCUUCCUCUCUUCUCAGACUUCCUCUCCUCUCAGACUUCCUCUCCUCUCAGCCUUCCUCUCCUCUCAGACUUCCUCUCCUAUCAGCCUUCCUCUCUAGAUCUCUCAUGUACUCUUCUCCAUUCAGACCACGUUCCCAACCGACUGGCAGUCAGAGGAGCUGCGGCAGAAGCUGGCAUCCUCACGCUCCAGACUACAGCUGUGGGCAGGCCGGGAGUCUUUGGGGGACGGCUUCAGUGUGCAGCGGAUGCAGAAAGCGUAGAAGAAGGCCACCAGGAGCAGGAAGCAGACCACGCAGAAGAUGAUGACAAUCAGGAUGGUGUGUACCUGGAUGUGCUCCUCCUCCAUCCAGGGGUAAGGGGUCGGGAUCACGGGCAUGACCAGGGUCAAGACGCGAUUAGAAGUCAUGGCAGCUGACAGAGGGUCGCUGGAGGUAAGGUAUGGGGCCGCUGUCAUGGCUGACGGGUUGGUUUGCUGUCUUGGCUGUCAGAGUUGCAGUGUCAAUGAUAAUGCAGCCACUG